GUUGUCACCUGUUCACUGCCUUAGAAGAUUUUAACUCCAGGAAAACUCUUAUAGACCCACUGGCAAUAAAAUUCCCUAUAAUAACAGCAUGCAGAAUACAAGAAAGGUUCUCGUAGAAGUUGAGAGCAAUAUUAGAGGAAGUAAAGCAGUGGUUUUAUGUUAGGUAUAAGUCUUUUGAAUAAAACAAGCACUAUGCUAUGAACUUUAUGUACAUUAUCUUCAACAACAUAGAACUAUACACAUUAAAUUCAGUGUAUAAGAAAAAGACUGGAAGAUGUGAGAUUAGUUGCAGUGUGAGUGGAAGGAUUUUUCUGAAAUUUGCCCACCAAAUCUCGGCACAGUUUUCCCAUCAGAGUCAUUUAGAGUAGCACUUUCUUUGCUCUGCUCAAGAUUCUUUGCCUGGGUUAAUAAGGUCAAGUUCCAUAAGAAAAUAACAACAUGAUCUACCAUCAGUAACACAUUCUGUUUAGGUAAUUUUGGGUGGGAAUGUUUGGGUUUAUGCUGAUGUAGGCACACUCUUGUUCCGCGUUGACUAACAGCUGCAAGGCAACAAGCUAGUAUUGAGCUGGAGUUUGUCAUCAAAUGUAAUCAAACGAAGUGAUCCACAUUUUAAUGACUUUAGCCUCGUUAGCAAACUCUUCUGAUUAAAUCAGUUGCAAUUUAUUAUGUUAAUAGAUAAAUCUUUUGAAAAAAGUAUGAAUCUCUUCUACUCCCAGUGUUUCAGUAAUUUAAUGCUAUACUUUUGAAGCCUUGACUUAGUGGCAAUAAUUUGCCGUAUGGCCAUAAGCAACAACAGCAUUAUUGUUUUAGGGCACAUUUCCAAUGUUUAUUUAUGCUAUGUAGUGCCUUUAGUUUGAUUUCCCAUAGGACUGACAGAAUUUCUUUUAGAUGUUUUGUCUUCUAAGUGUAAGACUUUAUUCCAAGGGUAAAAUACACUUAUGAAUGUGAAAGUUGUCAGAAUCAAAAUGGAGUCACUUGUGUUGUCAAAAGCCCUGACAAAUAGAUCCAGGGAAGCUUAUGAAGGGAGGGUUCUCAUGCACAAAUGCCAGAUUAAAAAAAACUAUCACAAAAGACUGCAAAAAUUUCAACCUUGCAAAAGGCCAUAAUAGCCUUACACACACAAAAAAAUUCUUCAUUGAGGACAUCUGCCCAUUAACUGCCUGUCCAGUCUUGAACUGGUGAUACCCUAGUUAUUUAUUGAUCUUUGCAGCAAGAAUAAUUACCUCAAAAAUUAUGUAAUUCUCUUCAUUUUUUCUUUAAAAAUUUUUGUCUUCCUUUACCUCCCUGAAUACACCCUGAAUACACACAUAUUUAUUAUGACAUGCCUAUUCCCAUUGCAAUGCCCUAUUCUUGAAUAAAUAUUAUUUUCUUUUAGAGAGCCUCUUUCUGUCUGUUAUUUAGGUUGACAUAAAUUUUGAUGGAUUAUUUAAUUCACUUCAUUGUGUAGAUGACAAAUGACUAUAAAAAUAAUUUGUAUUUCUUGAUAUGAUCAUAUUCAUGCCUCUUUAAAAAUGAUUUGGUGGCUACUUUUUACAACUUAUUUAUUUAAUUGUAUAUAAACUUGAACUUUACAAUAGUUUCAGGUUUAUAAAAAAGUUAUGAAGAUAGAACAGAGAGCUACCAUAUAUGCUACACCCAGUUUCCAGUAUGGCUAACAUCUUAUAUUGGUAUGGUACGUUUGUUAUAACUAAUGAACCAGUAUUAAACAUUAUCAUCAACUAAACUCCAUACUUUAUUCAUGUUUCCUCAGCUAUACCUUUUCUGUUCCAAUAUUCUAUCCAGGAUACAUUACACAUUAGGCUUCUCUAGAUUAUGACAAGAAAUCUUGAGGGGAUUCCUGAAAGGAAGGCCACAGAUGCUAUUCUCAUCACAUGAUAUCAAGAGUACAUGCUAUUGACAUGACUUAUCCCUGUUGUUAAACUUGAUCAUCUGGUGGAGGUAGUGUUUGACAGGUUUCUCCUCUGUAAAGUUAUUUUCUACCUUUCUUUACUGUAUUCUUUGGGAGCAAGACAUCAUGUGCAGCCCACACAUCCUCCAUCUCAUUGAAGUGGGAAUAUGAUAUAUACUAUUUUGAAUUCUUCUGCUUGGGAGAUUUGUCUAUAUUUCUUUAUUUAUUUACUCAACUUAUAUCCUUAUGGACUCAGCAUAUUUAUUUUAUAUUUUGAGUUUUAAUUUAAUAUUAUUUUAUUUAUUUUGUUGCUUAAAUUGUUACAGCUUUGUUCACUGGGCAUUCUUUUAACUGGCAGCUGUAUCUAACAUAUCCCACCAUUGUGUGCAUUGUGCUUUACAUUUUUAUGUUUUGCAUUUCCUUCAUUUUCGGCCACAAUAAAAUGCUCAUCUUAUAUAUUCCUUGUCCCAGUCUCAGAAUCUAGGAAUUUAUGCAAAGAAUCCUGGUUUCUUUUAUGGGAAAUUGGCAUUAGAAAUCAGUAUUUGAUGUAUUUUGAAGUCAAGCUGGUAAAAAGAAAAAUCAAUAUUUGGGCACUAAUUGUGCUCAUUGCCAUUGAGAUGUCAUUAAUUUUAGUCCAUCUCAGCUGACAGAGCAAGAAUAUACAUGUGUAUGCUAAAUAUAUAUACAUAUAUCUAUGAGUAUUUAUUAAUAUAUACUCAUGUUAUUCUGCAUUAAGUCAAACAUGAGUUCAUGCUGAUGUGACCAAUUCUACUCCAUCACCAAAGGAUCACUCUAGCCUUCUGGGGACUUGUUACUUAAAAAUAUAAAUAUAUUUUUUAACUCAGUGUAGGCUGAAAAUAAAAAGGAGAGAAAGAAAGAAGACUGGUGUUUAUGAUGUAUUCUACUAUUUCUCCAGAGCAACCUGGAAUUAUUUACUGCCUUUUGAUUAGUAUGAUUUAAAUGGACUAAGCUAUUUUUUAAGUAAAGACAGAAGGCCUGGACACAGUUUAUUAUUAUUGAAGCCAAAACUUUUCUUCUUUCAUUAAUUGGUAUGGAAAAAAAGUAUGUGAAAGAUUGCGACCAGCUCUAGUUUUUCUGUAAACAGAACAAGAAGAAAGAGGCUAAAAUUGCGUUAGAAGAAAUGUAAGGGAAAACAUUGUGCUAUAGAGAGUUACUGAAUGUUAGAAUGUAAGAUAAGAAGAGAAAUUGGUGACUGUUCCUUAAAACUAGGAUGGAUUCCUACUUGUCUAGAAUAGUAGGUGUUUUUCUGAUUUUCAAAAUUCUUUUUCUUCUCUGAAUUCUGGGAUUUUCCCAUGUAUAAUUAAAGCCUUUGCCUAGGAAAAUCCCUACUUUGAAGAUAUGAGAAGGAGAUCUGAAAAAGGAGAAAAAAAGAAUAGAUUAUACCUACUACCCAAACUGUACUCUAAUAUCUUUUCAUAUUCUUCAACAUCAAGUAAAUCCAUGUUAGCAUAUUGAUCUGCCCCUUUUUCAAGCUCCUUAUGUUUAAUGGAAUCUGUCAUAGGCAUGAAUGGAUGUUUCCUUUUCAUAAGCAGAUGAGUGCCUAGAUAUUUACAACUUCAUACUAUGUUUUUUUAAAAAAGCUUUUUGAGGCCGGGCGCGGUGGCUCAAGCCUGUAAUCCCAGCACUUUGGGAGGCCGAGACGGACGGAUCAUGAGGUCAGGAGAUCGAGACCAUCCUGGCUAACACGGUGAAACCCCAUCUCUACUAAAAAUACAAAAAACUAGCCGGGCGAGGUGGCGGGCGCCUGUAGUCCCAGCUACUCGGGAGGCUGAGGCAGGAGAAUGGUGUAAACCCGGGAGGCGGAGCUUGCAGUGAGCUGAGAUCUGGCCACUGCACUCCAGCCUGGGCGCAAAGCGAGACUCCGUCUCAAAAAAAAAAAAAAAAAAAAAAAAAAAAAAAAAAAAAAAAAGCUUUUUGAUAUUUUAAAAACUACAUUCUGCUAAAUUGUCCUCACUUCUUUCAUUACCUAUCUGGAAGUAAGUAAUGAUGUUUCACCUAAACAAAAUGAUUUAAACAAUGAUUUUGGACUUAGAAUGAUUACCUUUCUCUACAGAACAUUUAUUUUACUAGGAAUAUCAUAUUUAGGCUAAUAAUAAAAUUAUUUUGCAUGGUGGCAAUGGAGUGUAUUAGAAAGAGUCCUCCAAGACCUGAGUUUUACUCCUGCCUGAUAGUACUACAUGCCAUGGAAGUGAUCUUGGAUAAAUUGCUUGUCAUUCUGAGUUUAGUUUGCUCAUCUUUGAGAUGGUUGUAGGAAUACUUAUCUUACAAGGUCGUUAUGAAUAUUAAAUGUGUUUGUGAG
rnacentral:lncRNA from 1 species